ACUCGCCUACGGGGGGCAGCAGUAGGGAAUAUUGCUCAAUGGGGGAAACCCUGAAGCAGCAACGCCGCGUGAAGGAAGAAGGCCUUCGGGUUGUAAACUUCUUUUGACAGGGAAGAGCAGAAGACGGUACCUGUCGAAUAAGCCACGGCUAACUACGUGCCAGCAGCCGCGGUAAUACGUAGGUGGCAAGCGUUGUCCGGAUUUACUGGGUGUAAAGGGCGUGUAGCCGGGCUGACAAGUCAGAUGUGAAAUCCGGGGGCUCAACCCCCGAACUGCAUUUGAAACUGUUGGUCUUGAGUAUCGGA
rnacentral:rRNA from 1 species